UUUGAUUUUAGACAGGACAGGAUGGCUGCUCAAUGUUCCAGGGUUUCAUUGUUUUAGACAAAUAGAGAGGAAAGUAAGAGGUAGAGGAAUUGCUUUUACUCAUCAGGAAGAAUGUCCCAUCUGAAAUUAGACGACGUACUGGAGGGAUUAAUCCUCUGAGGCAAUCUGGGUAGAGCUAAAAAAUAAGAUGGGUACAAUAUCUCUGAUAGGAGACAGCCACCAAAACAUUGAGGAACCAGUAUGUAGGUAGACUAUGGAAAGAUGCAAUAAAGAGUCGUUGUGGGUGGCAUUAAAUUUUCCAAUAUUGAUUGGGACUCCCUUAGAGCAAGAGGCUUAGACAGGGCAGAAUUUAAAUGCAUUCAAGAGGGUUUCUUGAAACAGUAUGAAGAUAGUCCAACUGGAGGAGGGGCUUUGCUGAACCUUGUAUUGGCUAAUGAGCCUGGCCAGGUGACUGAUCUUUCUGUGGGAGAGCAUUUUGGAAAUCAAUUUAAAGAUCACAACUCCUUAAGAUGGCUAUAAUCAAGGAUAAGUCAGGACUUUGUGGUGAGGUACUAAACUGGGGUAAGGUGAAUUAUGACCAUAUAAGGCAGGAGCUAAUGAGUUUAAAAAGUGUGGUGCUGGAAAAGCACAGACGGUAAGCAAGCAGCCGAGGAGCAGGAGAGUUGACAUUCUGAGCAUAAGCUCUUCAUCAGGAAUGUGGGGGGUGCCCAAGAGGGCUGAGAGAUAAAUGGAAGGGAGGUGGGGAGUUUUAGCUGGGAGGAGUUGUCUGGUAAGUCCACAUUUGAUGUGGGAAUUGUUUUAAAGGCCUGCUGGUGAGAGUUCAGGACAGACGUACCAAUGAAGAGGAAUGACAAGAAUAGCAAGGUAAGGGAACCUUGAAUAAGAAGGGAGGUUGUGAAUUUAGUCAAAAGGGAAAAAGCAGCAUAUGUAAGCUUUAGGAAGUUAAAACUGGACAGAAUCUGCGAUGAAUAUAAAGAAAGCUGGAAGGAACUCAAAGGGAAUUUAGAGAGCAAAAAGAGGUUAUGAAAUGACCUUGUUGGGUACAGUUAAAGAGAACCUGAAGGUAUUCUAUACAUAGCUUAAAAACAAGAGGAUAACUAGGGAGAAGGUAGGACCACUCCAAGGUUAAAGGAGAAAAUUGUGCUUGGGGGCAGAGGAUGUGGUGAGAUCAUGGAACAAUAGAAUUCCUACAGUGUGGAAACAGGCCCUUUGGCCCAACAAGUCCACACCAACCCUCUGAAGAGUAGCCCACCCAGACCCAUUCUCUCCCCUAUUAUCCUACCUAUUACCCCUGAUAAAUGCACCUAACCUACACAUCCCUGAAUACUAUGAGCAAUUUAGCAUAGCCAAUCCACCUAACCUGCACAUCUUUGGAUUGUGGGAGGAAACCCACGCAGACACUGGAAGAAUGUGCAAACUCCACACAGACAGUUGCCCGAGGCUGGAAUCAAACCCGAGUCCCUGGUGCUAUGAGGCUGCAGUGCUGGCCACCAUGCUGCCCCAUAUGGGAAAUUUGAGUCAUCAUACUGGGGAAGUAUUCACCCAGGGGAAGGGUAUGGAGGAUCGUAAAAUUUGUGUUGUGUAUGCUAAUAUGCAACGGCAUUCUGAGAUGAAGAAAGCAGUGAGGUUGAGUCUCUUGAAGAGAAUUAAGGUGGAAAUGUGCCCAAGGUCCAAUGCUAUCUACCACAGGCUAUUGAGAGAGGCAAGAGAGUAAAACACUGGAGCUUUGACCAAAAUCUUUUGUGUCGUCGCUAGCCACUGGCGAGUCCUAAUAGACUGGCUUGUAGUUAAUAUUGUUCCUCUGUUCAAGAAGGGAAAUAGGGAUAAUUCAGAAAACUACAGACUGAUGUGUCUCACAUUGGUGGUUGGGAAGCUAUUGGAGAGAAUUCUUGAGGAUAGGAUUUAAACACAUUUAGAAAAACAUGGCCUAAUUAGGGACAGUUAGCAUGGCUGUGUGCAGGGCAGGUCAUGUCUUUCUAACUUGAUUGAAUUUUUCGAGGAGGUGACAAAGGUGAUCGAUGAGGGUGGGGCACUGGAUAUUGUCUGUGUGGAUUUUAGUAAGGUCUUUGACAAAGUCCCUCAUGGUAAGCUCUUCAAGAAGGUUAAGACACAUGGGAUCCAUGGUGACUUGGUUAUGUAGAUUCAGAAUUGGCUGGCUGAGAGAAGGGUAGUGUGAAAGGAUAUAUUUAAGGCUGGAGGUCCAUGACUAGUAGUGUUCCACAGGGAUCCAUACUGGGACCCCUGCUGUUUAAAUGCCUUGGAUGAAAAUGUGGAUGGGGGUUAUUAAGUUUGCAGAUGAUACAAAGAU